AGAGUUUGAUCCUGGCUCAGAUUGAACGCUGGCGGCAUGCCUUACACAUGCAAGUCGAACGGCAGCACGGGAGCAAUCCUGGUGGCGAGUGGCGAACGGGUGAGUAAUAUAUCGGAACGUGCCCAGUCGUGGGGGAUAACGCAGCGAAGGCUGUGCUAAUACCGCAUACGAUCUCUGGAUGAAAGCGGGGGACUCGCAAGGGCCUCGCGCGAUUGGAGCGGCCGAUAUCAGAUUAGCUAGUUGGUGGGGUAAAAGCCCACCAAGGCGACGAUCUGUAGCUGGUCUGAGAGGACGACCAGCCACACUGGAACUGAGACACGGUCCAGACUCCUACGGGAGGCAGCAGUGGGGAAUUUUGGACAAUGGGCGCAAGCCUGAUCCAGCAAUGCCGCGUGCAGGAUGAAGGCCUUCGGGUUGUAAACUGCUUUUGUACGGAACGAAACGGCUCUUUCUA
rnacentral:rRNA from 1 species